rnacentral:lncRNA from 1 species
UAUUUGUAGGGGGAGGAGGAAUAUUGACUGGAUGGAUAUUUUGGCAGUGAUGGAUGGGAAAGAGAACUGUAUUAGUGGCUUGAGUAGCUACUUUAAAGUUUUGCUUGGAAGUCCACCCACACAUUGUUAUGCCAUUGUCUUCUUGCUUUUCAGAAAUUGCGGGCGUGACGAGCAGAGAAGAUUCUCAGUGCAACCUUAAAAGGGGAAGAGGAAGAAAAUAUCCUCACUGCUCUGUUCUUUGUGGUGAUCAUGGUGGUACUGAAGAAGCUGCUGUUGACUCCAGACAGCACCUUGAAAGACAGAAGUCCUUGUGUCCACUUUCUCUGGCCUGUGUACAAGUGCAGAAGCACUCAGAUCCAAGGCAUUGCUGCUUCAAGAUGCUGUGCUCCACAACCUCCAAGAGUAGGUUAUUAUUAUAAAUUUUCUAAAUUAAACUAUUCUUAAUUUUUAUUUAAAUUACAGAUUUAUUCCUAAAACUAAUUACUGUUCUGAGCAUUCCAAAGGGUCCUGAUACUGUAUCACCACUCAUUUUAUGUCCAAUUAAGCAGUUUAUAAUAAUUUUUCUGAAUUUAAGUCCCGUCCCAAAGUUUUUCUGCAAAUUUCCAAUUUAAGUGUUGCAAGCAUUUCAGGCAACUGAGGAAAAAAAAAAAUCUCUGGUCAUAGUACAUUCAGAGCUGAAAACAUUUUAAUAAAUGUAUUUCAAAUCCAAAGGUCUGAUUCUAC